rnacentral:rRNA from 1 species
AUACGGAGGAUCCGAGCGUUAUCCGGAUUUAUUGGGUUUAAAGGGUGCGCAGGCGGCCAUUUAAGUCAGCGGUUAAAUCGUGGGGCUCAACCCCAUUCUGCCGUUGAUACUGGGUGGCUUGAUUGCGGUCGAGGUUGGCGGAAUUCGUUGUGUAUGGGGGAAAUGCAUAGAUAUGACGAAGAACACCGAUUGCGUAGGCAGCUGACCAGACCGCAAAUGACGCUCAUGCACGAAAGUGCGGGGAUCGAACAGGAUUAGAUACCCUGGUAGUCCGCACAGUAAACGAUGAAUACUUGUUUUCGGCGAUAUAAUGUCAGAGGCAAAGCGAAAGCGAUAAGUAUUCCACCUGGGGAGUACGCCGGCAACGGUGAAACUCAAAUGAAUUGACGGGG